rnacentral:rRNA from 1 species
CGGGAGGCAGUGGAGGAAUAUUGGUCAAUAGCCUAACUGGCUGAACCAGCAACUUGGAGGAAUGUAUAGGGAAAACUGGUAAAAUGUGAUGUACCUAAUAGUAUUAGUGAUUAAUAUGAAAUUAACUAAGUUAAUUAAAAUUCAAAGUAGAUAUGUGAUUAUGACAAUAUUUGCUUAUUUCUUGACCAAGUCACGUGCCAGCAGUCGCGGCAAUACGUGGUAGAUAAGUGUUAUUCAUCUUUAGUAGGUUUAAAGGGUACCUAGACGGUUAAUUAAGCAUACGAAUGUACUAAUUUAACUAGAGUUUAAUGUAAGAAGGAUUGAGUACGGUGAGUGUAGAGAUAAAAUUCUGUCAUACCACUUAGGAACUGGUAAAGGCGAAGGCAACCUUUUAUGUAAAAACUGACGUUGAGGGACGAAGGCUCGUAUUAAAUAAUAGGAUUAGAGACCCUAGUAUUGUGGGCAGACAAUGAUGAGUGUCAUAUGCAAGAUAGAUUUUGUGUAUAAAUGAAAGUGUAAGCACUCCACCUCAAGAGUAACGUGGCAACAUGGGAACUGAAAUCAUUAGACCGUUUCUGAAACUCGUAGUGAAGUAUGUUGUUUAAUUUGAUAAUCCUCAAAUAACCUUACCAUAAUUUGAAUUACUGGCAACCGCUAGUAACAAGCAUUGCACGGCUGUCUUCAGUCAAUGUUGUGAAACUUUGGUUAGAUCCAUUAAAUUGACGUAAACCCUUGCUUUAUUUAUUAUAAAGUAGUUCGCCGCUAUAUUGGUAUUGAUAUAAGGACUAAGACAAGUCAUCAUUCAG